CAGGCAUCAUCACAUGCCCAUUAGUCCCACUCCUUGGCAUCUGGAGAACAUGACCACACAGAAAGCUGCACACCCGUGCUUCCGCAUAAUCGCCAACAGCUAGAAACAACUCUAAUGUCCAUCAACAGGUGGAUGUUGACCGUCAUAUAACAUGAGACUGGACCAGCAAUAAAAACAGACUACUCCCACACACAACUACAUGGAUGAAUCUCGAAGUCCUGCCGAGGGACUGGAGGAUGAGUGAAGCCAAUCUAAACCUUAAAAAGACAGCUAAGUUGUGGGGAAGUCGGCAUGGAUGGGAGUGACUAGAAAGGAUUCUCUCAGAGAGCUGUUGAAAUAGUUGCCAGCAGGAGAAAAUGAGGAGGGGCUACAGUAAGAAAUGGAGAGCUAAGAAGAGUCAUAAACGCGGAUUAACCUGGUGCUUGGAGUGGGGUUGUCCAACUGGAAGAGAAGAUGGGAAGGACAGGGAAGUCUUCAUAGACUGAGGUGUUGCCUGGCCAGAGUCCAUUCUCUCUUCUUCCAGAAAUAGACCCCCAAUUCCCUUUAGGGAACCAUCUCUCACCCACCCUCUGUCCUCAUAGUUCAUGCUGGGUUCCACCCCCAUCCUAGGCCGAUCAACAACCUGGUCUCCCUCAGGACUGUUUAUAUAGCAUGCACAUUUAUGACUGUUGCGGGAGUGGUUAUAUGAUCAGGCCUGGCCUAUCGCUGGAUACAGAAAUUGGUUCCAGAGUGGACAUUUGAUCCAAUCAGAGUGAAAUAGGAAGUGGGCAGAAGUUAUCAGAAGUCCGGAAGACAGGCUUUCUUUCUGCUGGCCUUGAACCGGAAGUAAUAAGCCUGGAGCUGCCAGGAGCCGGUGUGUAGGGAGGGCAGUGCCAGAGCGAAGCAAACCAGAGACAGGCCAGCCUGCAAACUGAAGAGAGGCCAGGUCCUGGGGACAUGGAGGAGCCACGAGGCUUUGGGUGUUUUUAAAACAGCAGGGAGCUGAGGAUACUUGUCUAGAGGAGAGGGAGAGAUCGGGGAAGAAGGAAAUGGCAUCCUAGAGGCAAAAACCACGUGCUUCAGAGGCUCAGCCGUGUAUUUUGAUGCAUGAACCAGCAUGUCCAUAGCUUCGAGGUUCUGUCAGCCCACGAGGCCCCUGGAGUCUUGGGAGGAGGUAGAACCACGAAGUCCAUGAUGGAACGAGAGACAUGGAGAUGGUUGUUUCUUCCAUUCCGGAGAAUCAUUCAGCAAAAUCUCUGGAGCCUUCAUUGGCUGGACCAGGCCAGAAGGAGCUGCCCAGGCCCUGGUGAGGAGUACUAAAUUUUAUUCUGCAGGCAGCAGAGAGCCACUGCAGGCUCUAAGCUGGGUGUGGCACGUUCAGGUCUGUGAUCUGGGAAGAGUUCCUGGCUGUGUAGUGGGGCCUCGGAGGGCAGGACACCGCCUCAGAGAUUAUCCUGAAGUCCAGCUGUGGCCCCAGGGCCUGCUGUCCAGGAGACACAAAGAGGGCCGAGGGGCGGGAACCCGGAUGUGUUGCAGCGUCACAGCACCACAGAGAGGCACCAGUGGGCUCAGCCUCAGCUGCGCUGCCCAAGGCCAGGCUUGCAGCUCCCUUCAAGGUGCACACAGACCCCGGCCUCCUGCCCAGUCCCCGAGCCUGCUUGCCUCCUAAAGAGCAAGAUGUCAGAAGGAAGGCAGCACCGAAGAUGUGCAAAUGAAGGGCGGAGAAAGAGAAAACUCCUGGCCAGGGGAUGGAGAUCUGCGUUGUACCAUGGAUCCAGUUAUACCUGAGACAAGUUACCACUGGGCUUUGCAGUAGAGGCCUCCAGAGUCCACCUGACAUCGACCACCUUGAUCCACCAGGGGUGGUGGAACCCAGCAGCGACAUUGACACGAAGCCACCGGGAAAAGGCCUGGCGGGAGCUGGCUACAAUGUUGAUGAAUUGUGGCAAGAAUUGAAUCCAUUCUCUUUAUAUAGCAGACCUCAGAAGCCACAAACCCAGGCAUUAAAGCCCGGGGUUGUGCCACUGGACUCUAAGGUUCAAAUCCCAGCUCUACCAGUUACCAGCUGUGAACAGGGCCCUGGGAAGGCUCCUAUAUCUGUCUCUGGCUCUGCUUCCCAUAAAAUGUUGGGAGAUUUUCAGCACUAAAUGCAUAUAACUUAGCAAGGACAGAGUGAUUUCUGAUUUUAUUAUAACAAAUAUAAAUUUAUGACUUGGUAUUUAUUGGUACCAAGCACACAUACAUUAAUUUAUUAUGUGUAUUACACCCCCGAUUUUCACAAGCAACUCUGUAUAGAGAGAAGAACUCUCGGUCACAUCCUACAGAUGAGGAAACUGAGGCCCAGGGAGGCUAAGUCCAGGUUAAGGUUAAGCUCAAGUUCCCAUGGAGUCAGGACUGGGAAUCUCAGCCGGAUGUGACUGGCUCCAAACGUCAUUCUCUUUGUGCUGCACUGGCCAGAUUGGCUUCUCUCAGCUCCCCAGCCAGUGUGGACCGGAAGCGAGUUCAGCUGGGCACGGCUGAGGAGGGUGGGUUGGGCUGGAACCCCGCCCGCCCAUCCACCCCAGCCACGAGGACUCCAUCGGGCAACUGGGGUGGGUUAGCCUGGUCUUAUACUCAGCAUGCCAGGGCUGUAGAAGUUCACGUGCCCACAACCAUGUGACCUUCCCAGGCAAGCGGGAUCCAGUUACAUCGCAGCAGUGGCCCCAAGGAACAAACACAGCUUGUGUCUUCCUCCAAGGGCUUAUUUCCUUUGUCUUGUGAGCAUUGAAAAAUGAAAGGAAUGAUAAGGAUUUGAUGGGGGGGUGCCCUGGAAAAUUCUGCAGAACUUGGGUAACUCAUCCAGAGGAAAGCAAGGGGGAGUUUUCCAACCAAAUCCAAAGGCAGAGAAACCCAACACGAAGGCCUGAGCCCUGUGAGGUCUCCUGGAUUCCUAGGUUCUCUUUAGAAGGCACAGAGGCCCCAGGCCUGGGGCGGAAGUCCCAUAACCCAGUACUGCCACCAGGCUCCUGUGGACAGACCACGAAAUCUCUCCAGGGCUCAGCUUCCUUGGCUACUCUGCAUCAGUAAUGCCAACUCCCAGGCUCUGGGUUGUUACAAAGAAAUGAGAAACUGUGUGUAGACAGUGGUUCUGCUGGGGGGAUUAACACCCUUGGGGACAUAUGGCAACGUCUGGAAACUUUUUUAGUUGUCACACUGGGAAAAGCAACUGGUGAGUGAAGACCGAGGACACUGCCACACACCACACAGUGCCCAGGACACCCUGCCAAAGAAUGGCCCUCUCCAAAGACCCAGGGUGCUGUGGCUGAGCAAGUGCUGGUGUAGAGUCUCAAAUGUUUAGUUCACAUGCUGAUGUUGGUUUUACUGUUCCAUUGGCGCGCAUGUGGGAAGGGGGACAGGAGAACAGGGUGGCCCAGGAAGAAGGCAGAGCUUGCAUGCCAGCUGCCCCUGGAGACAGAUCUGCUGUCCUCCUUCAGACAAUGUUCACAACCCCUGCCCUCAGGAAGUGUUUGGUCCAGAAGGAGAGACAGCCAGCAGACGAAGCAAGCACUUAAAGAAUACUGGUUCCAAAUAUCCACCAAGAGUGAUGAACGGAGGAUGGUGAUUCAAAAGGAGUGAGGUUUGGACACAGAGGAGUCUUGACAUUAUGCUGAGUGGGAGAAGCCAUCGCUGUGUGACUGCAUUGUUACCAAAAGAGCAGGCAGAUCCUCAGACUGAAAGUAGCUGGUGGUUCCCUGAGCUGAAAGAGUUGAGGAAAAAGGCAGAGAGACCGCUAGUGGCUAUAGAAUUUCCUUCUGGGCCAAUGAGAAUGGUAGUGCUGGCUGCCCAGCUCAAUAAUAUACUGCAUGCCAUGGGACUGCACGCUUUAAUGUGUGAACUGGGAGCUACAUGAAUGAAAGCUUAAUAAAGCCAUUAUAAAUAACAAUAAUACUGAUGAAUGGCUAUACUGAUGAAUGAAAUAAGCAACCAGCAGGGCCAUUGUGCUCAGGGGGGAUACAGAUGGCAGGUGACAUCUAAGGAAGAGACAGAGACUAAGUUCUGGUGCAGGGGACAACAUGAUGUGCAGAGUCCCCAGGGCAUGAGCCCGAUGUGUGGUCCUACAAGGGAUCAGCUGCAUGCACCGUGGAGUGGGAGCUGCAGAGAAAGGUGCAGAGGGCUGACUGGGCAGUGACCUUAGGGACC
rnacentral:lncRNA from 1 species